AGUGAACGCUGGCGGUAGGCCUAACACAUGCAAGUCGAACGGCAGCACAGUAAGAGCUUGCUCUUACGGGUGGCGAGUGGCGGACGGGUGAGGAAUACAUCGGAAUCUACUUUUUCGUGGGGGAUAACGUAGGUAAACUUACGCUAAUACCGCAUACGACCUACGGGUGAAAGCAGGGGAUCUUCUGAGCUUGCGCGAUUGAAUGAGCCGAUGUUGGAUUAGCUGGUUGGCGGGGUAAAGGCCCACCAAGGCGACGAUCCGUAGCUGGUCUGAGAGGAUGAUCAGCCACACUGGAACUGAGACACGGUCCAGACUCCUACGGGAGGCAGCAGUGGGGAAUAGUGGACAAUGGGCGCAAGCCUGAUCCAGCCAUACCGCGUGGGUGAAGAAGGCCUUCGGGUUGUAAAGCCCUUUUGUUGGGAAAGAAAAGCAGCAGGUUAAUACCCCGCUGUUCUGACGGUACCCAAAGAAUAAGCACCGGCUAACUUCGUG
rnacentral:rRNA from 1 species